AUGUAAUAAUAAUAAAAAAAAAUAGCAAGUGAAGUACCCCAGAUGAAGCCGUUAAUAUAUUUCAUAUGCAAGCUGUGAGAGACUAGCUUUAUAAUAACUGUGAUAUCCUCCCACCAAAUUUGUCUAUCGUCUGGGUCAUGGUAUAUUUGAUGGUUAAGGGGGGCCCUUUUAUAUGGGUGCCCCUCUCACAGAAUUAUGGGUCUUUUUAAGAAGGCUUAUCAAAUCUGUCCCUCAUAUGCCUUAAAGAUGCAACUCCCUGCUGGGAACCCAAGUCUUUUUCACCAGAAAAAUUAAAGUGGUCUGGGGUUAAAAAAGACUUCUGGGGACCAGAACAUAAAACAUACAGAUUAAUAGAAUUAUAAAAUGUAAGAUGUUUAAACAAGCUCUCUGUGAGGUAGUUGUAACCCCUUUUACCUAAAUGUCUUAUGAAAAUGGAUAGUAUAUCUAACUGUGGAAUGUUUUCCUCUUUCUAGUACUGUAAAGCUGAAGACAUGUAAAUCUGCUCAUGUAAAUCCUCCACUGCAUAGUCUUUUGUUUGGAGCAUUUAUGGGGCUUAUGGUAAAAACCGUGUGUACUUUUCAGUAACAACGACUGAGCUAGAGAAUUUCUACUUCGUGGGGCAUUUACUGCCUUGCUGUGGAAUAUUAACUGGAGCUACCCCUAUACUAAUGGGAAUAAUGUUUUCCAAAAAGUUCCAUGGUAAAAUAAAAAUGGUUUACAUAAAAUCUUGCUAUAUAAUAAGCAGAGAGCCUUUUUCUAGGACUAAUUGUAAGAAGCUGCUAAAUUCUAUAGUGCCAAAUAGCUCUCAUGAGCUGUUUGGUUUGUAAAUGACAUUUCCAAGGUAAACAAACAUCUUGUCUUAAAAGCUGCUGCUCUGGUUAAAAGAGGGUCAAGACAUUUUUUUUUAAGUUAUUUGGAAAAAGUAUGUUUUUGUAAGCAAAUUUACCUUUCUGAGUUCUCCAAAAUUCAGAUUGUGAUUUUAUAACAUUAUAAUUGUCUGCAUUAGUUUAAUGAUAAUUAAAAAAUAAUUGUUUUAAGGGAAAAGUGUGACACUUAAUACUAGAUUUCAGUCCUAACUUUUUAAGUGCAGAUUAAAUUAUUGUUCUUGGCUACAAUAAUCCUCUAGAAAGUACCAGAUUGUAAUUUUUCUUCAUAUUUUUAGUUGGUGCCCUAAUAGAAUAGGGCACCUUUCUAUUUCCUUUUUCUGUUCUAACAUACAAAUUAUUCUAUAAUUGUCAAACUAUAAAUGUUAUUUAUCUCUCCUUGUUUUACUUCCAAGGAAACCAAAAUCAUGGUAUUCUGAAGACCAGAGAUAUGAAUCUCCUUCAUUUGGCAUCCCACCGGCCCCGAUCUGUUUCACUGCUAAUGUUCUGCUGCCAAAACUAUACAAGCUGCCUCACCCCUAGGCCCAGGGACUAUCACAGAAGAGAGCCAAUAAAACUUUUCUUUUGAGUGAUUUGCAGCUUUUAACAAACUGAACCUGCUUAUUUCUGUGAACCAACCAGUGAUCUCUUAUGGCUGUUCAAAAGUAACAAGAGAGAUAUCACCUUUUGUCAUAACUCAAGUCUUAUGAAUGGCCCUCACCAUAAUGAUGCUUUUUGACUGAGCUCUUCUCUAACCUGAAUGCAAGAGGUUAGGCAUGAAUAUCAUCCCCCCUGUUCAGCCUGAAGAAGUUACAGAAGAUGAAUCUUCCACUCUCUACAGCCCUUAGGAUUAAGGGUUCUCUUACUGAAUGUAUUCUUAAACUGAACACUUAUUAAUCUUCCAGAUAUCACCUUUUGUCAUAACUCAAGACUUAUGAAUGGCCCUCACCAUAAUGAUGCUUUUUGACUGAGCUCUUCUCUAACCUGAAUGCAAGAGGUUAGGCAUGAAUAUCAUCCCCCCUGUUCAGCCUGAAGAAGUUACAGAAGAUGAAUCUUCCUCUCUCUACAGCCCUUAGGAUUAAGGGUUCUCUUACUGAAUGUAUUCUUAAACUGAACACUUAUUAAUCUUCCAGAUAUCACCUUUUGUCAUAACUCAAGACUUAUGAAUGGCCCUCACCAUAAUGAUGCUUUUUGACUGAGCUCUUCUCUAACCUGAAUGCAAGAGGUUAGGCAUGAAUAUCAUCCCCCCUGUUCAGCCUGAAGAAGUUACAGAAGAUGAAUCUUCCUCUCUCUACAGCCCUUAGGAUUAAGGGUUCUCUUAUAAAAGGGAGGGGGUAAAUAUGUCAGAGGCAUUUGAACCAGAGAAACUCCAUCUUGAAUAGUCCCUGUGUAAAAUAAGACUGAGACCUACUGGGAUGCAUUCCCAGGAGGUUAGGCAUUCUAAUUCACAGGAUGAGAUAAGAAGUCUCCACAAGAUACAGAUUAUAAAGAUUUGGCUGAUAAAACUGUUUGUGAUAAAGAAGCUGGCCAAAACACACCAAAACCAAGAUGCCAACAAAAGUGUCCUCUGGUUGUCCUCACUGCUCAUUAUAUGCUAAUUAUAAUGCAUUAGCAUGUUAAAAGACACUCCCACCAGUGCAAUGACAAUGUACAAAUGCCUUGGCAACAUCAAGAAGUUACCCUAUAUGGUUUAAAAAUGGUAGGAACCCUCAGUUCUGGGAAUUGCCCACCCCUUUUCUGGAAAACUCAUGAAUAAUCCACCCCUUAUUUAGCAUAUAAUCAAGAAAUAACUGGAAGUAUCCUUAGUGAAGCAGGCCAAGCCACUACUCUUCCUAUGGAGUAGACAUUCUUUCAUUAGUUAACUUUAUUAAUAAACUUGCUUUCACUUUA
rnacentral:lncRNA from 1 species